rnacentral:rRNA from 1 species
UCCAGACUCCUACGGGAGGCAGCAGUGGGGAAUCUUCCGCAAUGGGCGAAAGCCUGACGGAGCAACGCCGCGUGAUCGAAUGAAGGCCUUCGGGUUGUAAAGAUCUGUUGACAGGGACGAAUAAGCAAUGCGAAUAGUUUUGUGUAUGACAGUACCUGUUUAGAAAGCUCCGGCUAACUACGUGCCAGCAGCCGCGGUAAUACGUAUGGUGCAAGCGUUAUCCGGAAUGACUGGGUGUAAAGGGAGCGUAGACGGUUGUACAAGUCUGAUGUGAAAGCCCACGGCUCAACUGUGGGAGUGCAUUGGAAACUGUAGAACUAGAGUAUCGGAGAGGCAAGUGGAAUUCCUAGUGUAGCGGUGAAAUGCGUAGAUAUUAGGAGGAACACCAGUGGCGAAGGCGGCUUGCUGGACGAAAACUGACGUUGAGGCUCGAAAGCGUGGGGAGCAAACAGGAUUAGAUACCCGGGUA